rnacentral:misc_RNA from 1 species
AAACCGAAAACUGCUCUCCCCUAGCAAUAAGCAAUGGCAACUAUAGUAUAAAAUUUGAGUAAGGAGAAGGGUGUGUGAGGGGGUGAGACAUAUAACAGAAAUGAACAUGAAAAAUGUACAAACAUAAAGAGUUUGGGAAAAACUUUUUGGACCCUUUGUAUGGACACAUAGAAAUUUGUCAUCAUAAGGGGAAGUUUCACUUGUUUAACGCGCCCGUGUGUGUAUGUGUGUGUGUGUUUGUUUUAAGAAGUAAUAAAAAAUACGGCCUAGCGGUGGUCAAGGUUGUAUAAAAGAGAAAUCCCAGUUGAAAAGAGAACAAGAGAGACAGAAAGGUAACAAAAACAGAACAUGAUUGCAUUUUUCUGGAAGUCAUUUUCAAAUUUCAGCAUGUAUCAUAAAAUGGUUGUCAUAAAUGGUUUAACAUUAAUACGAAUUCUUCUAUAAUUACUGACACAACAAAAGUAUUUAGUAUAAGACAAUGUAAACAAAAUCAAGCUGUGCACCAGUUUAUCAAUCUAAUUACAUUUUCCAUUGCAAAUUAAGUUCAAUUUUACUUUUUAUUACUAAGCCACAUCAAUAGAUGCUAGCAAGACAAAACAAAAAUGCGCAGCCUACACAUAACAUAAACGCAAACCUGAGCAGCAUAAGUUCUCUGAAA